rnacentral:rRNA from 1 species
AUUGAACGCUGGCGGCAUGCCUUACACAUGCAAGUCGAACGGUAACAGGUUAAGCUGACGAGUGGCGAACGGGUGAGUAAUGUAUCGGAACGUGCCCAGUCGGGGGGGAUAACUGCCCGAAAGAGCAGCUAAAACCGCAUACGACCGGAGGGUGAAAGCGGGGGAACGCAAGACCUCGCGCGAUUGGAGCGGCCGGUAUCCGAUUAGGUAGUUGGUGGGGUAAAAGCCCACCAAGCCGACGAUCUGUAGCUGGUCUGAGAGGACGACCAGCCACACUGGGACUGAGACACGGCCCAGACUCCUACGGGAGGCAGCAGUAGGGAAUUUUGGACAAUGGGCGCAAGCCUGAUCCAGCCAUGCCGCGUGCGGGAAGAAGGCCUUCGGGUUGUAAACCGCUUUUGUCAGGGAAGAAAAGGUUCUGGUUAAUACCUGGGACUCAUGACGGUACCUGAAGAAUAAGCACCGGCUAACUACGUGCCAGCAGCCGCCGUAACAC